AUUGAACGCUGGCGGCAGGCCUAACACAUGCAAGUCGAACGAGUGGCGGACGGGUGAGUAAUGUCUGGGAAACUGCCUGAUGGAGGGGGAUAACUACUGGAAACGGUAGCUAAUACCACAUACCAUCAGAUGUGCCCAGAUGGGAUUAGCUUGUUGGUGGGGUAAUGGCGCACCAAGGCGCCGAUCCCUAGCUGGUCGGAGAGGAUGACCAGCCACACUGGAACGGAGACACGGUCCAGACUACGACGUGAGGCAGCAGUGGUGAAUAUUGCACAAUGGGCGCAAGGCUGAGGCAGCCAUGCCGCGUGUAUGAAGAAGGCCUUAGGGUUGUAAAGUACUUUCAGCGGGGAGGCGUUACCCGCAGAAGAAGCACCGGCUAACUCCGGGCCAGCAGCCUCGGUAAUUC
rnacentral:rRNA from 1 species